rnacentral:rRNA from 1 species
AGAGUUUGAUCAUGGCUCAGGAUGAACGCUGGCGGCGUGCUUAACACAUGCAAGUCGAACGAUGAAGCCAGCUUGCUGGUGGAUUAGUGGCGAACGGGUGAGUAACACGUGAGUAACCUGCCCUUAACUCUGGGAUAAGCCUGGGAAACUGGGUCUAAUACCGGAUAUGACUCCUCAUCGCAUGGUGGGGGGUGGAAAGCUUUUUGUGGUUUUGGAUGGACUCGCGGCCUAUCAGCUUGUUGGUGAGGUAAUGGCUUACCAAGGCGACGACGGGUAGCCGGCCUGAGAGGGUGACCGGCCACACUGGGACUGAGACACGGCCCAGACUCCUACGGGAGGCAGCAGUGGGGAAUAUUGCACAAUGGGCGCAAGCCUGAUGCAGCGACGCCGCGUGAGGGAUGACGGCCUUCGGGUUGUAAACCUCUUUCAGUAGGGAAGAAGCGAAAGUGACGGUACCUGCAGAAGAAGCGCCGGCUAACUACGUGCCAGCAGCCGCGGUAAUACGUAGGGCGCAAGCGUUAUCCGGAAUUAUUGGGCGUAAAGAGCUCGUAGGCGGUUUGUCGCGUCUGCCGUGAAAGUCCGGGGCUCAACUCCGGAUCUGCGGUGGGUACGGGCAGACUAGAGUGAUGUAGGGGAGACUGGAAUUCCUGGUGUAGCGGUGAAAUGCGCAGAUAUCAGGAGGAACACCGAUGGCGAAGGCAGGUCUCUGGGCAUUAACUGACGCUGAGGAGCGAAAGCAUGGGGAGCGAACAGGAUUAGAUACCCUCGUAGUCC